UACGAAGGGGGCUAGCGUUGUUCGGAAUUACUGGGCGUAAAGCGCACGUAGGCGGAUAUUUAAGUUAGGGGUGAAAUCCCAGGGCUCAACCCUGGAACUGCCUUUAAUACUGGGUAUCUCGAGUCCGAGAGAGGUGAGUGGAAUUCCCAGUGUAGCGGUGAAAUGCGUAGAUAUUGGGAGGAACACCAGUGGCGAAGGCGGCUCACUGGACCGGUACUGACGCUGAUGCGCGAAAGCGUGGGGAGCAAACGGG
rnacentral:rRNA from 1 species